CACUUCCUACGGGGGGCAGCAGUGAGUUAUAUUGGUUAUUGGGCGGGCGCCUGAACCAGCCAAGUCGCGUGAAGGAAGAAGGUACUUAGUAUUGUAAACUUCUUUUGUCGGGGAACAAAGGCGGAGACGCGUCUCCGGAUGGGUGUACCCGAAGAAAAAGCAUCGGCUAACUCCGUGCCAGCAGCCGCGGUAAUACGGAGGAUGCGAGCGUUAUCCGGAUUUAUUGGGUUUAAAGGGUGCGCAGGCGGGAGAUCAAGUCAGCGGUAAAAUGUCGGGGCUCAACCCCGGCCGGCCGUUGAAACUGG
rnacentral:rRNA from 1 species